rnacentral:lncRNA from 1 species
AAAAAUCUUCUAUGUGGAGAUAGAUUUGUGUUAAUAGGACAUGAAACUUGAAACCUAUAUGGUGAAAAAUGUAACAAAUCUUGUAAAACGAGAGUGGUUUGAUGUUGAUGGUAAUUUUUCAUACACCUUAUCAGGGGCGAAUCCAGCCAUUUGAAAAAGGGGGGUCCAACUAUAAGUCACCAUUCCAAUGCAUUGAUCGUUAAAAAAAAGGGGGGUCCAACCCCCCUGAACUCUCCCCUGGAUCCGCCACUGCACCUUAUCACUAUUUGUCCGCCAUUACUGGAUAUCACACAGGUUGUAGUAAAAUUUUGAAGUAAAAAAAAAUAUCUGAAGUCACAAAAGGAAAAUUAUUGUCAUGAUUGUUGUAUUCGUCAAAAGUUCUAUGCAGUCGGGUCAGCCGGGGUUACCAAUAAUUAAGGUGUAUUCAAUAUGAUAGAUAAUUGCUAUAUAUCUAGGACCUUGAUUUAUCUCUUCUGUCACUUUAUGAUAUUGGUCGAGGGUGAUGCGGCAUGUGAUACGGAUUUUGCCAUGUUUUAUACGCUUUAUCAUAUAUUUCACCAGACUUUAUAUAUCUGUCACCAUACUUUACAUAUCUGUCACCAAACUUUAUAUAUCUGUCACCAGACUUUAUAUAUCUGUCACCAUACUUUAUAUAUCUGUCACCACACUUUUUAUAUCUGUCACCACACUUUAUAUAUCCGUCACCACACUUUAUAUAUCUGUCACCAGACUUUAUAUAUCUGUCACCAUAAUAUCUGUCACCACACUUUAUAUAUCUGUCACCACACUUUAUAUAUAUCUGUCACCAGACUCUGUCACCACACUUUAUAUAUCUGUCACCACACUUUAUAUAUCUGUCACCACACUUUGUAUAUCUGUCACCACACUUUAUAUUCUGUCACCACACUUUAUAUAUCUGCCACCACACUUUAUAUAUCUGUCACUAAACUUCUAUAUCUGUCACCAACUUUAUAUAUCUGUCACCACACUUUAUAUAUCUGUCACCACACAUUUAUAUAUCUGUCACCAGACUUUAUAUACUUCACCCAUAUAAUCUGUCACCACACUUCAAUAUCUGUCACCACACUUUAUUUAUUUAUAUUAUAUCUGUCACCAGACUCUGUCACCACACUUUAUAUAUCUGUCACCACACUUUAUAUAUCUGUCACCACACUUUAUAUUCUGUCACCACACUUUAUAUAUCAGCCACCACACUUUAUAUAUCUGUCACUAAACUUUCUAUAUCUGUCACCAGACUUUAUAUAUCUGUCACCAGACUUUAUAUAUAUCUGUCACCACACUUUACAUAUCUGUCACCAUACUUUAUAUAUCUGUCACCACAUUUUGUAUAUCUGUCCUCACACUUUGUAUAUCUAUCACCACACUUUUUAUAUCUGUCAUUACACUUGACAUAUCCAUCACCACACUAUAUAUAUCUAUCACUACUUUAUAUAUCUGUCACCAGACUUAAUAUAUCUAUCACCAUACUUUAUAUAUCUAUCACCAUACUUUAAAUAUCAAUCACCACACUUUAUAUAUCUGUCACCACACUUAACAUAUCCAUCAUCACACUUUAUAUAUCAAUCACCUCACAAUAUAUAUCUAUCACCUCACUUUAUAUAUCUGUCACCAGACUUUAUAUAUCUAUCCCCACACUUUACAUAUCUGUCACCACACUUUAUAUAUCUAUCACCACACUUUAUGUAUCUGUCGCCACACCUUAUAUAUCUGUCACCACACUUUAUAUAUCUAUCACCACACUUUAUUUAUCUGUUACCACACUUUAUAUAUCUAUCAACACACUUUAUUUAUCUGUUACCACACUUUAUAUAUCUCACCACACUUUAUAUAUGUGUCACAAUAUUUUAUAUAUAUGUCACCACACUUUAUAUAUCUCUCACCAGACUUUAUAUAUCUAUCACCACACUUCAUAUAUCUGUCACCAUACUUUAUAUAUCUGUCACUACACUUAACAUAUCCAUGAUCACACUAUAUAUAUCACUCACCUCACUAUAUCUAUAUCUUACUACUCACUUUAUAUAUCUUACACAACACUCUAUAUAUCUGUCACUAGACUUUAUAUAUCUAUCACCACACUUUAUAUAUCUGUCACCACACUUAACAUAUCCAUCAUCACACUUUAUAUAUCAAUCACCUCACUAUAUAUAUCUAUCACCUCACUUUAUAUAUCUAUCACUACACUCUAUAUAUCUGUCACCAGACUUUAUAUAUCUAUCCCCACACUUCACAUAUCUGUCACCACACUUUAUAUAUCUAUCACCACACUUUAUGUAUCUGUCACCACACCUUAAAUAUCUGUCACCAGACUUUAUAUAUCGAUCACUACACUUUAUUUAUCUGUUUCCACACUUUUAUAUCUAUCACCACACUUUACAAAUGUGUCACCAUACUGUAUAUAUAUGUCACCACACUUUAUAUAUCUGUCACCACACUUCAUAAAUCUUUCACCACACUUUUUAUAUCUGUCACCACACAUUAUAUAUACAUCACCACACCUUAUACACAUCACCACACCUUAUAUAUCUAUCACCUCACUUUAUAUAUCUAUCACCACACUUCAUAAACCAAUCAGCUCACUUUAUAUUUAUCUGUCACUAAACUUUAUACAUCUAUCACCACACUGUUCAUUUAUCCCUACACUGUUCAUCUGUCACUUCACAUUUUAUAUCUGUCACCAUACUUUAUAUAUCUGUCACUACACUUAACAUAUCCAUCACUACACUUUAUAUAUUCAUCACGUCACUAUAUAUAUCUAUCACCUCACUUUAUAUAUCUAUCACUACACUUUAUAUAUUUAUCCCCAAACUAAAUAUAUCUAUCACAUCACUCUAUAUAUCUGUCACCACACUUUAUAAAUCUGUCCCCACACUUAUUAUAUAUAUCAAUCACCACCCUUCAUAUAUCAAUCACCUAACUAUAUAUAUAUCUGUCACCACACUUUAUAAAUCUGUCAUCUUUUUUUAUAUUUGUCACCACACAUUUAAUUUACAUCACCUCAUAUAUCUGUCACCACACCUGAUAUAUCAAUCACCUCACUUCCUAUAUCUAUCAUCACACUUCCUAUAUCUAUCAUCACACUUUAUAUAUCUACCUCCACACCUAAUAUAUCAAUCACCUCACUUUCUAUAUCUAUCACCACACCUAAUAUAUCAAUCACCUCACUUUAGACAUUUGUAAGUACACUUUAUAUAUCUUAUCACCUCACUUUAUGUAUCUAUCACCACACUUUCUAUAUCUAUCACCACACCUAAUAUAUCAAUCACCUCUUUUUAUACAUCUGUUACUACACUUUACACAUUUAUAACCUUACUUUCUUUAUCACCUCACAUUCUUUAUCUAUCACCUCACUUUCUUUAUCUAUCACCUCAUUUUUUUUAUUUAUCACCUCAAUUUAUAUAUCCAUCACCUCAUAUGAUAUAGCCAUCACCACAGUAUAUAUAUUUAUCAUAUACUUGUAUACAAUAUUACUAAAAUUUUACAGUUCAAUAACAUUUGAAAUUAUCAAAAGGCUAUGAAAGGAUUACAGGUAUGUUGACCAGAUUCCUAAGAACUUCCAAAGCGGGCUGAUAAAGGUACCUUUAUUGACUGCUUCCGGAAUGUUAUCACAUGCCUUUCCGUUCAUUUCCGUGACGUUUAUCACAUGCAACUUCGUGCAUUUCCAGAAAUUUGAUUAAAAACGAUAACAAACGCGGAAAACACAAGUGAUACGACUUUCACAAAAUGGUUGAGGAGCAAAAUUAAUUAAGUUAAACAUGUUUUAAAGACACAAAUGAGGUAACAAUAUAAUUGAAGAACAUAUGAUAAUUGUUGUGACAAGAAAAAUAAAUGCUUGUAAUAUCAAUAAAGACAUAAUAUUAUCUGAGAGUAUUUAUCACCUAACAUGAUAUCUUCACUUCAUUUAUCUAUUACCACCUUCUAUAUACCCCAUACUUAAUAUGUUUGGUAUAUUCUCUUACUGUAUAAGGCUAUCACAACUCUAUGUGUAUCUGUUAAAACCAUGUUUAUACCUAUUUGAAAGUGGAUAUAAGCAUACUAACGAUUAAUGUAUAUUUACAGCAAUCUGUGUAUGUUUGCUGAAAACUAAAAGUGAUUCAGUUCGGCACCUAUCAUUGUAACUAUUUGUUUUUCAACAUGGUUGAUUUUGUUGCACAAUCAUACACAUUUUAAUUUUGAAAACUAUUAUUGUCAUGGUAGAAAAGACUGAAGUUUAUGUGUGUAUCUUUUCAGAAAAUUGGUGGGAUUCUUAUUGCUAUAAAGAGAUAUUUGAAAAACAAACAGAACAUAUAAAAUCAUACCACAUGACUGAUAUCUGUAUAGAAUAUAAAUACAGCCUAGCGAUAUAUGUAGGACUGUAUCUGUAGGACACCAAAUUUGCGGAAUAGAUAUUUAUGACCACACUCUACAUAUCUAUCACCACUCUGUAUCAUUAAUCACCUUACUGUAUAUAUCUAUCACCACUCUGUAUCAUCAAUCAACAAACUAUAUAUGUAUCACCACUUUGUAUCAUCAGUCACCAUAUUGUAUAUAUCUAUCAGCACUCUGUAUCAUAAAUCACCUUCUUGUAUAUAUCUAUCACCGCACUAGAUAUCUAUCCCCACUCUGUAUCACCAAUUACCACACUGUAUAUAGUCUCACCUCUUUGUAUGUAUCUAUCACCACUCUGUUUCAUCAAUCCUCAUAGUGUAUAUAUCUUUCACCACUUUGUAUCAUCAAUCACCCUACUCUUUAUAUGUAUCACCACUGUGUAUCAUUUUUCACCACUCUGUAUCAUCAAUCACCACACUGUAUAUAUUUAUUACCACUCUGUAUCAUUAAUCACCACACUGUAUAUAUUAUCACUCUAUCAUUAAUCACCUUACUUUAUAUAUCUGUCAUCACACUGUAUAUAUCUAUCACCUAACGCAUCAUAUGUCACAACACAUUAUGUAUCUAUCACCACACUUUAUAUAUCUAUCAUCACACUGUAUAUAUCUAUCACCUCACUAUAUGCAUCUAUCACCUAACGCAUCAUAUGUCACAACACAUUAUGUAUCUAUCACCACACAUUAUAUAUCUAUCAUCACACUGUAUAUAUCUAUCACCUCACUAUAUAUAUCUAUCACCUAACGCAUCAUAUGUCACAACACAUUAUGUAUCUAUCACCACACUUUAUAUAUCUAUCAUCACACUUUAUACAUCUAUCAUCACACUUUAUACGUCUAUCACCUAAUUGAUCAUAUGUCACAACACUUUAUAUAUCUAUCACCACGCUGUAUAUAUGUCACCACACUUUGUAUAUCUAUCACCUCAUUUUAUUAAUAUACCACCUCUGUUUAUAUAUGUAUCACCUUAUUUAAAUAUCUAUCAAUACAAUGUACAUCUAUCACUACAUUUUAUAUCUCUAUCACCUCAUUUUAUAUCUCUAUCACCUCACUUUAUACAUAUAUCACCACACUGUGUAUCUGUCACCACAAUUUGUAUAUCUAUCAUCUCACUUUAUAUAUCUUUCACCUUAAUUUAUAUAUUUCUCCUCAUUUUAUAUAUGUAUGACAUCCCUGAAAAUAUUUUAUUGACCUCACUGUUGAUAUUUUUUCACCAUAUUUUAUAUAUGUAUCCCCUCCACAUAUGUAUCUUUUAACUAACUGCACUGUUUAAAUCAAUCACAACACCAUUGAUAUAUAUGUCACCACACACAGUAUAUAUAUAUAUAUCAUCCUUUUGUUUAUAUAUCAUCACACUGUAUAUAUCUUAAUACUAUUCUGUGUAUUCUUUACCUCACUGUAUAUACACAUAACCCCACUAUAACUAAGUCCACACUUAUCACCUAUCUAUAUCUAUUUAUCACCAUCUUAUCAUAUUUAUAGUAACACAAUGAUUAUAUCUAUCAUCAUUCUGUAUCUAUUUUUCACCAGACUGUAUACUAUAACUUGUUGUAUCUUCUAUAAGUGAGAGAAAUAUACUGGUCAUUGUAUAAUUUACAGUGGAAGGAGAUAUUCAAUGUCCACUGAGAUAUGUUUGUAUAAGCUUGUAUACUUAUCAUGUAGCAAUUCUCAAAUUCAUUAUUUAUAUUUUUGUUCUUCUUACAGAAAUACCAAACAACAUUUUGCAAGGAUUUAGAGGUCAUUGGUGAAAAUGGAAGAAAGGACAUGGAUACAUCUAAUUUUAAAUGAAAUAACAAGAAUAGUUAAAUGAUUUACCACCAAGCAGCACUCAGCAAUAGUGAUGGUAAAGUAUUUUUAGAAAAUGAUACUCGAAAAAAGAUAUAUAUAGUGUGGUGUUUUAUAUGUUCCUCCAUUGCUGCAGUCGCUGUAUUCAUCACCACACUCUCCAUAUAUAUCCCAACAGUCUCAAUAGGUACCCUCAUACUAUGAUUAUCUAUCACUACAGUCUCAAUAGGUAUCCCAAUACUAUGAUUAUCUAUCACUACAGUCUCAAUAGCUAUCCCCAUUCUAUGAUUAUCUAUCACUACAGUCUCAAUAGCUAUCCCCAUACUAUGAUUAUCUAUCACUACAGUCUCAAAAGCUAUCCCCAU